UCCGAUCUAGAGAGAAUCGGGCCUUCGACUUUGCUCAUGUUAGGAUGAGGUCCUCCUCCUGUCCCUAACAAGGCUGUGGGGGUGCAUGUGGGCGCUGUUUGGCCUCUCCCCCCAUCCGGUCUAAGAGGAACCGGGCCUUCGACUUUGCUCACAUUAGGGCGAGGUCCUCCUCCUGUCCCUGACGUGGCCGUGGGGGAGCAUAAGGGCGUUGUAGG
rnacentral:lncRNA from 1 species